rnacentral:rRNA from 1 species
AGCGAACAUUGGCGGUAGGCUUAACACAUGCAAGUCGAGCGAGGCGUAAUAGUCGAGCGGCGAACGGGUGAGUAAUACAUGGAAAUCUACCCUGAAGUGGGGGAUAACGUCCAGAAAUGGACGCUAAUACCGCAUAAUCCAUAUUGGGAAAGCGUUGCAGCGCUUUAGGAUGAGUCCAUGGCUGAUUAGCUUGUUGGUGAGGUAACGGCUCACCAAGGCGACGAUCAGUAGCUGGUCUGAGAGGAUGACCAGCCACACUGGAACUGAGACACGGUCCAGACUCCUACGGGAGGCAGCAGUGGGGAAUCUUGCGCAAUGGGGGCAACCCUGACGCAGCCAUACCGCGUGAGUGAUGAAGGUCUUCGGAUUGUAAAGCUCUUUCGGCGGGGACGACGAUGACGGUACCCGCAAAAGAAGUCACGGCUAACUUCGUGCCAGCCGCCGCAGUAA